GAACGCACCUUGCGCCCUUUGGUCUUUCCAAUGGGCAUGCCUGUUUGAGUAUCGUGAACACCUCAACUCUCAUGGUUUGCCAUGAUGAGCUUGGACUUUGGGGGUCUUGCUGGCCUGUGGUCGGCUCCUCUCAAACGGAUCAGCUUGCCAGUGUUUGGUGGCACCACGGGUGUGAUAACUAUCUACGCUUGUGGUUUUCCACCAGAUAACCUUCAGUGAUGGAGGUUCGCUGGGGCUCACAAAUGUCUCUCCUCAGUGAGGACAGCUUUUUAAUGUUUGAUCUCAAAUCAGGUAGGACUACCCGCUGAACUUAAG
rnacentral:misc_RNA from 1 species